rnacentral:lncRNA from 1 species
AAACCCAAAAAUUAAGAUAAAUUACAAACAAGCAGAAAUCAUUCAAACCAUUGUUCUCUGACCAUAAUAAAACUGAAUAAGAAAUUAAUAUUAAAAGAAAGCAAGAGUGUGGGCUGUGGGGUGGGGAAAAGCAACAAUCCACUUGGAAAAAUUAUUUAAGUAACUCUUGAUUUAAAGAAAAAAACUCAAGUCAUUAAAAAGUCAUAAAAAGCAAUAAAUGCUAUAAAUGUCAAAACAUGUGGGAUAUAACCAAAAUCGGACUCAGAAAAAUAUAUAGCUAUAACUGCAUUUUUUAGAACCUGAAACAAAACAAGUUAAACAAAAGCUAGGUAUAAACAAAGAAGUAUUAAAAAAAAAAAACAGUAAACUCUAAGAAAGUAAUUUAAAAAAAAGAAACACAGAGGAAAGUAAUUAAACAGAACAGCAAUAUGAAAAGCACAACUUACCAGUGAAUCCAAAAGCCAAAUCUUUCUAUGUCAACACUGAGGACAACAGUAAGAAAGUGGACGGGGCCAGGACUGUUCCACCAAAUGCCCCUAGAGUGAUUUCCUUGAUGUAACUCAUGUCACCAUUUUCACUAUGAAUGUGGGUGCCUCAUAACGUGUGCCAUUUAUGCAAGACUAAUUCUGUGUUCCUAUAGUGUUGCUUUCCUCCAUUGCAUUACCUUAGCACCUUUGCCAAAAAAGUCGAUUUAACAUAUAUAUAUACGUGUGGCUGUAUUUUUUGGCUCUCAUUCCCUGUUUUGAAACUUUGCUUUCAAAUGCAUACACAUUUAGAAUUAUUUCCUCUUGGUGAAUUCACUCCUUUAUUAUUUUAUAGUGUCUUUCUUUUGUCAUUGAUAGUACUCUUUGUUUUAAAGUCUACUAUGUCUGAUAUUAAUGUACUCACUCCAGUUUUCUUAAGAUGAAUGUGGGCAUGGAAAAUCCUUUUCCCAUUCUUUUAUUUUUAAUCAUCUAUGCCUUUCUAUUUGAAGUAGUUCUUUUGUAGACAGCCUAUAUUUGUUUUUAGUAGUAGUGCUCUUUAUAUAAUCUGACAAUUUCUUCUGACUUUUAAUUGGGGUAUUUAAGUCAAUUAUACUUAUUGCAAUUAUAGAUAAAUUUAAUAGUACCGUUUUGUUAGUUCUUUUUGUUUCAUCUGUUUUUUUCCUCUUUAUGCCUACUUUUGAAUUCAGUAAUUUUAUGAUUUCAUUUUAUCUUCACUAUUUGCGUAUUAGUUACGCAUUUUUAAAAAAUUUUUAGUGGUUACUCUAUGGUUUCAAUAUACAUCUUUAAUUUCUCACCUUCAAAUAAUUUUAUACUGCUUCAGGUAUAAUGUAAGACACAUAAUAUUUUCAUAAUUGCUUCCUCCUUUCUUUGUGCUAUUAUUGCUGUGUAUUUUCCUUUUUAAAUAAAUUUCAUAAUACAUUGUUACUAUUUUCACGUUAGAUAGAUAAUUAUAUUUUAGAGUGGUGAAAAUAAGAAAAAAAUUCCAUUUUUAUAUUUACUUCAUGGUUGCUGUUUCUAGAGAUCUUCAUUUCUAUAUGUAGAUCCAAGUUUCUAUCUGAUAUUACAUUUCUUUUGCCUGAAGAACAUUAAUAUAUUUUGUACUGGCUCCUAUUGGUUAACUGUGAAUUCUCUCAGGUUUGUCUUUUUCUUCCUAUCUGGAAAGUGUUUAUCUCACAUUUAUUUUUGAAAGGUAUUUUAGCUGGAUAUAGAAUUUGGAGUUAAUAGCAUUGUUUCCAAUACUUUAAAAAUGCCUUUCGAUUGUUUUCUAGCUUCCUUAGUUACUGAAAAGAAUGCUGCUGUAGUUUCCUUCUUUUUGAAAAGCGUCUUUUCUUUUCUUGCUGCCUUCAAGACUUUUUCUCUUUUUUCAUUUUUUUUUUUUUUUUUGGCAGUUUCACAGUGAUAUAUCUAGGAGGGGAUUUUUGUCCUUAUCUUUUAGAAUUUUUUCUGAUUUUUUGAAAUUCUUGGGGCUUUGAUUUGGUGUUCAUUGCUAAUAAAAAAAAAAAACUUGACCAUUAUCUCAAUAAAUACGUUUUUUACCUCACCUUUUGUCUUCUAUGGCAUUCCAUUUGUAUGCUUAUUUAACAGUUUGAUAUUAUCCCGCACCUUUUAAAUGCUUUGUUCUGAUUUAUUUUUCACUCUUUUCUCUUCCUUUUGUGUUUCAAUUUGCAUAAUUUUAUUAAAUUGUCUUCAAAUUCACUGAUUCUUCUUUCAGUUGUGUUGAGUGUACUGAUGAGCUCAUUAAAGGAAUUCACUUCUGGUAUGUAUUUUAAAAAAUAUCUAGUAUAUCCGUUUGACUUUUUUCUUAUGGUUUCCCUCUGACGGCAGAAAUUCCCCCAUCUAAUUACAGAUAUGUUCAUUUUUUUCCCACUGGAUCUUUUAUACAUUAAUCACUGUUAUUGUUAAAUUGUUAUCUGAUGGUUUCUACAUCUGGUUAUUUACGAGUCUGACCAUGAGUUGCGUUUUGUUUUCUGCUGUGUUUUUGUUGAGACUGUGUGUGUAUGUGUGUAUGUGUGUG